CCUACGGGGGGCAGCAGUAGGGAAUUUUGCGCAAUGGGCGAAAGCCUGACGCAGCAACGCCGCGUGAUCGAGACGCCCUUCGGGGUUUAAAGAUCUGUCAGUGAGGACGAAACUUGACGGUACCCACAGAGUAAGCACCGGCUAACUCCGUGCCAGCAGCCGCGGUAAUACGGGGGGUGCAAGCGUUGUCCGGAAUCAUUGGGCGUAAAGAGUUCGUAGGCGGAACGUAAAGUCUGGUGUUAAAGGCAGAGGCUAAACUUCUGUACGGCACUGGAUACUUGCGUGCUAGAAUGGGGUAGAGGUAAAGGGAAUGCCGGUGUAGGGGUGAAAUGCGUAGAUAUCAGGAGGAACAUCGGUGGCGUAAGCGCUUUACUGGGCCGUAAUUGACGCUGAGGAACGAAAGCCAGGGUAGCAAAUGGGAUUAGAUACCCCAGUAGUC
rnacentral:rRNA from 1 species